AGAGGUGGCAAGCGUUGUUCGGAUUUAUUGGGCGUAAAGGGCGCGUAGGCGGUCAUCUAAGUCUGACGUGAAAUCCCCCGGCUCAACCUGGGAACUGCGUCGGAUACUGCCUGACUUGAGUAUGGGAGAGGUGUGUGGAAUUCUCGGUGUAACGGUGAAAUGUGUAGAUAUCUGGAGGAACACCGGUGGCGAAGGCGCUAUCCUGGACCAUUACUGACGCUGAGCUGCGAAAGCUAGGGGAGCAAACGGGAUUAGAUACCCUGGUAGUCCUUGCCCUAAACGAUGAGUAUUAGGUGUGACGGGUGUCGAUCCCUGUGGCGCCGACGCUAACGCAUUAAGUCUUCCGCCUGGGGAGUACGGUCGCAAGACUG
rnacentral:rRNA from 1 species